UACAGAGGUCUCAAGCGUUGUUCGGAAUUACUGGGCGUAAAGGGUGCGCAGGCCGCACGGGCAGUCAAAUGUGUAAUUCAGGGGCUCAACCCCUGGACUGCGCUUGAUACUUCCGUGCUCGAACCUUGGAGAGGAGUCUGGAAUUCUCGGUGUAGCAGUGAAAUGCGUGGAUAUCGAGAAGAACACUUAGGGCGAAAGCAAGACUCUGGACAAGUGUUGACGCUCAUGCACGAAGGCUAGGGUAGCGAACGGG
rnacentral:rRNA from 1 species